AGUCUUGUAGCUCAAGUGGCUAGAGCGUUGGCUGUAAUAAAGCCUUCUGCUUUUUGUCGUGGGUACGAAUCCCACCGAGGCCA
rnacentral:tRNA from 1 species